UACAGAGGUCUCAAGCGUUGUUCGGAUUUAUUGGGCGUAAAGAGCUCGUAGGCGGCUUGUUGCGUCGGCUGUGAAAUCCCGUGGCUUAACUGCGGGCUUGCAGCUGAUACGGGCGGGCUGGAGUUCGGUAGGGGAGACUGGAAUUCCUGGUGUAGCGGUGAAAUGCGCAGAUAUCAGGAGGAACACCGGUGGCGAAGGCGGGUCUCUGGGCCGAUACUGACGCUGAGGAGCGAAAGCGUGGGGAGCGAACAGG
rnacentral:rRNA from 1 species